rnacentral:rRNA from 1 species
GACGAACGCUGGCGGCGUGCUUAACACAUGCAAGUCGAACGGAAAGGCCCUGCUUUUGUGGGGUGCUCGAGUGGCGAACGGGUGAGUAACACGUGAGUAACCUGCCCUUGACUUUGGGAUAACUUCAGGAAACUGGGGCUAAUACCGGAUAGGAGCUCCUGCUGCAUGGUGGGGGUUGGAAAGUUUCGGCGGUUGGGGAUGGACUCGCGGCUUAUCAGCUUGUUGGUGGGGUAGUGGCUUACCAAGGCUUUGACGGGUAGCCGGCCUGAGAGGGUGACCGGCGACAUUGGGACUGAGAUACGGCCCAGACUCCUACGGGAGGCAGCAGUGGAGAAUAUUGCACAGUGGGCGGAAGCCUGAUGCAGCAACGCCGCGUGCGGGAUGACGGCCUUCGGGUUGUAAACCGCUUUCGCCUGUGACGAAGCGUGAGUGACGGUAAUGGGUAAAGAAGCACCGGCUAACUACGUG